UUAAUAUCAAUUGAAUUUAUUACAAGUUACUAAGCUCCAAGGCACAUUACAGUGUUCUGUUAACUACAGAAAUGUAUAAAGGACAAACAGAGCAGAUUCUCCAUGUCUAGCAUUUCGCUCUACUGUUCAAAAGCAUCCGUGCAUCAAUAAAGCAAAAACAAAACAACACGUGAAGAUCCAACACAUUCAGGUCAGUAGAAACAAACCAAAACAUUUUCCCUCACAAACUUGCAACAGAAAACACCCCCCCAACACCCCCCUUACCAUUUUGCAAAAACAGGAAAACAGAACAGAACAGAACAGAACAAAAUAAAGUGAAGACUUCAACACUUGGGGCUGUUUAGAAAGAAGCUCUCACCAUUUUAUAGCAUUUUUUUUUUUUUUUUUUUAGGCGCAAAACCUGCCCUUGGAAAAAAAAAAAAAAAAAAAAAAAAAAAAGAAGUCGUUUUCUUUUGUGUAUGUUUUUUUUUCCUUUCAGUGAGUGCAUAACAUUUACAAAAAUACACACCAGCAGCAGUCGUUGCUAAGGGCUAUUAAUUCUGUACCUAGGCAAACACUCUGCCACCAAUAAAUGCUAACGAAUAUGAUGCAAAAGACCCAACCAAUAUUAUACUGCUUAACACAAACCAGCUUAUCCUUCAAAUGAAGAAGUUACAUACCUUUGUUUCAAAAUAUAGAAACAUACGACGAAAAUAAUGUCUAUACAUAAGACUAACUUUUUGCAGUUUGAUAUAUUCACAAUUCUACAUCUUGGGGGCGAGGGAAGAAAGGGUCGAUUGUGGGAGGGGAGGGGCCCUCUGGACGGGUGAGGAGCUGGUCUGGGGCAAAGGAGUGGCUGUCUUGUGGCUCAAGGGUCUCUCUCCUUUUUCACUUUAACAUCCCCAGCUAAGAUCGUCGCGAUUUCGCCCUGCAUGAAGGCCCAAGGUACAUUCGACCCAACUAGGGGGCAUUUCUCUCCGCUGGGGCAGUACACCUCGCCAGUGGCCCCCUGGGCCUUGAUACUCUCUCUAGAGCAAGGGAAGCAGAAUUUGUGGCUGGGAACGGAUGGGCACUGAACGAAAUGUGUGUCCUCCAAACGUUCGUGGCAAAUGGUACAGCACAGGGGCCCGCUGUUGGCCAUAGGGGAAUCCGGAAUGUUUUGGGGGUGUACUUGGUCCAUGCCUGGGUGGGUGCUAGGUGGCGGGGGCGCCACUUGUAAAUUCAGGUCCCCGUUCCGUGAUGCCAAGCGGCGCUGCCCGGGUACGGAGGCCGGCGACACCGGGCUGCUGCUGUUGCGCCGGGCAGACGCAGUGGUGGAGUGCACGGAACUGCCGUCCUUGGGCGAGUGCGCCGUGCCCAGAGUGUCUGCCACCGACAUGAGGGCGGCCAUGGGGGACGGACCAUUCUGAGGGGCUGACUCAGGUGGGGUGGUCCGGUUGGAAUGGGGUCCCAGGGGUGGGGGCGGCGGGGGCGGACCCCCUGCCGCAUGACCAGGCGUUGCAAAGCCCCCGGCCGACAUGGUGAGCUUAAGUGCCUCGCUCUGGUUUGCCAUCCACUGCUGCCUCUGCUGCUCCUCGCCUAGCUUCAGCGCGCCCUCAGCGGAAUCCGGGGGCUCGGGAGACGCCUUCCUCUUGCGCAGGCUGGCGGCUGCGCCCCGGCCCGAGGGGGCAGCGGGCGGCAGGGCCCCGGUCCCCGGGGGUGCGCUGGGGGCGCGGCUUAAACUCACCAGAGCCGUGGGCAGCAUGGGACAGCUGGCGUCCAGGUAGGGCUGGGGCAGCAUGUCUGCGCCGGGCACGCCCUCCUUGAAGAAGCGCACAGCCUCGGGCAGCAGAUCUCCAAGUAGGCGCCAGUCCCCGGAGCCGUGCUUCUUCUCAUACUCCAGAUACUUGAAGCCGGAGGAGAGUCCCCGGCCGAAGUCCUUCAUACAGUCCUGGUACAUCUGCUUGGCCACACCAGAUGCGCUGGAGUACACGUUGCCCGAGCCCGUGGGGUACUCAAUGAAUAGCUUCAACUCAUAGUCCAUGCCAGGCUUGGAGACGGCGUCGAAGGCGAAGACGCGGCCCAGCAGCGAGUGGUCCUUCUUGAAACGCACCUCGUAGGGCGUGCAGCCCGCCAGCGUGAGCAGCGUGUCGCGGACCAUUUUGGGCUUGUUGGCCCACUCCUCGGCGCGGUUGCGCAGGCUCUCGCUCAGCUCCGCCAGGGCCUCCGCGUUACGCUGCUUUUCCUUCAGCUCGCGCUCCUGGUCGGUGCUGGACACCGAGCCGGGCCUUUUGCCACCAGCACCCACGCCCACCUCGGCCACGGACGACGAGGUCGAGGACGACGCGGAGGACGAUGCGGCAGAUACGCCGGGAGUGCCCCCGAGACAAGCUGGGCCCCCGGGUGCCCCUGGGGGCGCGGGCGUCGGGGGCCCACGGCUGCCCAGACCGUGAGGGGGCGGUGGGGGCAGCACAGCAGCGCUGGCCGGGCCGUUAAGCAGCGUCUGCGGCAGCAGGUUGGGGGGCACCGUGAGCUGGGGGCCUCCGCCACCCCCCGGGUUAGGAAGCCCAGUUACUAACCCACCGUGUGUCCCGCGCCGAGACGCCACCGACGCCGCAGCUGAAGACGAGUUGGGGCUCUGGCGGUUCAGCUCCGGGGGUCCCUCCUCGGGGGUGGGCUUGGGGAAGCCGUUGGGGCCUCCCAGGCCGUUGGGCAGCCGCGCGGCGUGGCUGCUGCUUCCCAGGCUCACUGGAGGUGGCGGGUACUCGAAGCGGCUGCGCUGUUCCACCGCGGCAGCGGCGGCGGCUGCGGCGCUGGCGCGCGGUCUCGAUCACAAACUCGAUGCGAUCCGCGCCCUCGUAGUUGACGCAACCGCGGCAUACGGGUUCCGAGAAGUCCCAGAUCAUGGCCCAGGGCAUGCGGGGCAGGUCGCACAGGUAGCAAGAUUGUCUCCGGGACGAGGACACCUGCGCCGCCGACAUGAUGCCGGCCCUGGGGAAGGUAGGCCCCCGCCCGGGCUGUCUCCGCGGCGCCUUCUCCUCCCGGAGGGCUGGCCGGCUGGGGAGGGAGUCUGGCUGCGGGGGAGGGAGGGGGGGCGAGAAAGUUCUGCCCCAGGGGCUGGAGGGAGCGCGAGUCUCCACCGCCGGCGCAGCGCCUCUCCGCGGGGGCUCCAGCGCCUGGGCGGCGGACGAGUCCAGCCCGCUCCUCGCCCCCACCUCCUACUGCGGCUGUCUCGUCGGGAGGGUAGCUCAGGCGCCUUCUUCCUGGUGUCGCGGACCUGGACUGGAAGCUCCGGGCCCGGGGGGAGGGGGCGAGGGUGCCGGGUGCUGGCCGCUGUGGGUUCUUGGCCCCCUCCCCGGAGUGGCUGGUGCGUGGAAGCUCGAAAGGGGCUGUCUCUUCCUCUCCUCUUGGAGGGGGGGGCGCCCUACGACCUGCGUCCUCUCCCCGCCAGGCUCCCUGGGGCGAAGGCUAUAGAGGGUUCAGUGCCACCCGGUGCCCGGGUCCAAUCUUGCUGAAGUCGCUGCUUCCCGGGAGGGCCGGGGGAGGGGUUGGCAGCCGAGAGAGGAGCUUCUCCCCUCCGCAGCGUCGGCCGUUCCGCUGGCGGCGGCUGGGUUUGCACGGCCGGAGGGAGCCGCCGCGGCCACUGCUUCCAGGAUGCACGCGAGCAGAGUAGAGGAGUGCACGCACGCAGGCUCCCGCCGCCCCCAGGCCUGGCGGGCGCCCGGGCCGCCGCGGCUGGCGGCGCUCACGUUGGCUGCAGGGCGCUCGCGCGGCGCCUCGGCCCGGGUCGCAUCCCUUCCCGCUCACACUCGCCCGGAAUGUGGGGUUGUGAUUGUUACUCUACGUUCCGGAG
rnacentral:lncRNA from 1 species